rnacentral:misc_RNA from 1 species
AAGUCGUAACAAGGUUUCCGUAGGUGAACCUGCGGAAGGAUCAUCAACAAAUCUAAAAUAAUGUUGCAAACCUCUUUCUUUCUCUUCUUCAUUUGGAGGAGGGGUGGAAGGAGGUUGGCAACAAUAUACCAAUGUGAAUUGACACUAUCUGCGCCCUACCUUUGGGUGGGUAUAGAAGUGUUUAUUAGUCUAUGCUGUUCUUUGGCAGCAUAAACAUUAACGAGUUUAAAUAGAGUCUGUUUAAAAUUUAUAAUCUUAUACAACUUUUAACAAUGGAUCUCUUGGCUCUU